GCCUGAGUGGCUCAGUCAAUUAAGCAUCUGACUCUUGAUUUUGGCUCAGGUCAUGAUCUCAUAGUGCAUGGGUUCGAGCCCCAUGUCAGGCU
rnacentral:tRNA from 1 species